GGCCGUAUGCUUAUCUGCCUACAAGGGU
rnacentral:sRNA from 1 species